rnacentral:pre_miRNA from 1 species
UGGACAGAUUAUUGUAUUCGACUGUAUUCGCAGCGUGAAACAGGAGAUUACACCAUUUUAACGGAAAGUGAAUCAAUUAACAUAAUAGACUCCU